UGACGUUACGACACAUAAGCACAGCUAAGUUUGUUCCAGCACACGCAGUAUACUGAUGGGUGCCAGCGCUAAUCGGAAUUAUUGGGCGUAAAGGCAGCGUCGUGCUUCGUUAAGUUGGAUAUGGAAAUCCCCGCCCUACACCUGAGAACUGCAUCCAAAACUGGCGAGCUAGAGUAGACAGAGCAUAGUGAAUUUCCUUUGUACGCGUGAAAUGAUAGAUAUAGAGAGGCACACCAGUGGCGAAGGCGACCUCUCGGGCUCAUACUGACACUGAGGUGCGAGAAGCGUGGGGAGCAAACAAGAUUAGAUACCCUGGUAGUCCCCGCCGUAAACGAUGUCGACUAGCCGUUGGGAUCCUUGAGAUCUUAGUGGCGCAGCUAACGCAUUAAGUUGACCGCCUGGGGAGUACGGCCGCAAGGUUAAAACUCAAAUGAAUUGACGGGGGCCCGCACAAGCGGUGGAGCAUGUGGUUUAAUUUGAAGCAACGCGAAGAGCCUUACCAGGCCUUGCCAUGCCAUGUACUUUACAGAGAUGGAUUGGUGCCUUCGGGAACAGAGAACCAGGUGCCGCAUGGCUGUUGUCAGUUGUUGUCUUGAGAUGUUGGGUUAAGUCCCGUAACGAGCGCAACCCUUGUCCUUAGUUACCAGCUCGUUAGGGUGGGCACUCUAAGGAGACUGCCGGUGACAAACCGGAGGAAGGUGGGGAUGACGUCAAGUCAUCAUGGCCCUUACGGCCUGGGCUACACACGUCAUACAAUGGUCGGUACAGAGGGUCGCCAAGCCGCGAGGUGGAGCUAAUCCCACAAAACCGAUCGUAGUCCGGAUCGCAGUCUGCAACUCGACUGCGUGAAGUCGGAAUCGCUAGUAAUCGCGAAUCAGAAUGUCGCGGUGAAUACGUUCCCGGGCCUUGUACACACCGCCCGUCACACCAUGGGAGUGGGUUGCACCAGAAGUAGUGUAGUCUAACCUUCGGGAGGGCGGUACCACG
rnacentral:rRNA from 1 species